UUGAAUAAACUUGAACAGGCUGUUGCUGGCCCUUCUCUGGGGGGUAAGUGCACGCUUGUCAUCUUUAUUUCUCCAACUGUGCACAUAUUGUAGAUCCUGGAGUUCUUGUUGAUUUGUAUCGAGUUGGGACUGCUGUGCUUUCAGCUUUGCCUUGAGGAUCUUCCAGGUCUAUGUCAUUUUCACAACCUCUUGAAUUUGUAUAGAAUGUUGAAUCAGGUCCUUUUUGUACCUAUAAAGUUAAAUAUA
rnacentral:misc_RNA from 1 species